GGUCGUACAUCAUCAGGAGCACAAGAAGGGUUCCUUCAAAACCCUAAAACCCACAAAUUCAACAAAAUCAAAGGGAAAUAGAGCUAGAGAAUUGGGGCUUUAACUAAAUUCGUGAUCACCUCAGUAAAGGGAUCAUAAGACAAAGGAAUCGAGUCUUUAAGCGGACAAACCGGAGUGGACACGCGCUUGAAGGGAAUGCUUUAAAGGAUACUCGCAUCCGAAGAUGGCGAGGGUGUAACAAGUGACGGAUAGGAUAGAAGAACGGUCCGAAGUAUGACAAGUGGAGCAUGCUCACUAAGGACCAAAUUGCGUAACAAUCGUGAAUAGGAAUAAUGGCAUGGAACGCCCGUCGGGGCAAGCAUUACAGGUGCACGCUUUAAAUUUAAUCGCACAAGUAGUCAUA